AAGGAUGAUGAUAUCCACAAUGGGCUGGGCCCCCUUCCCCAUCAAUCACUAAUUAAGAAAAUGCCUCUUACGGGCAUUUUCUCCAGCAUAUAACUCCAGAUAACUCCAGCACAUCUGGCCACUGUAGCUUUUUAGUUCGGAGUGGCAUAUGAGUGGGCAUGACCCGGGUAGGGUGCACGUGUGUCUGCAGGUCAGGGGACAGUUUUGUGGAGUCAGUUCUCUCCUUCCACUUUUAAAGAGAGUUCAGAGGCUAGAACUUAGGUCAUCAAGCAGACCGCCUGCUGAGUCAUCUUGCUUACUGUGCAUUUGGAGUUUAAUGGUAGGGGUGGGAGUGGGGGUAGGAGUGGUGUUAAUUGACUGUGUUUCUUAGGUCACAGGGGCAAGUGUUCAGGGCUUAAGGGAUGUGUUCUCCAAACUUUUUAUUGGCCCUUAUUGGCUAAGUCUUUGCCACCACCUUGACCAUCCCUUCUUGGAUGAGGUUUUGUGUCAUUUACAAUAAUCAACUUCAGACCCCAAAUCCCACUUUGCUUUGCCUUGGGCAUGUGUGUGUGUGUGUGUGUGUGUGUGUGUGUGUGCGCGUGCGCAUGCAUGUAUGUAUGUGUAUAAAGGUAUUUUUAAAUUAUGCAUAUAUGUAUAUGCCUAUGUGGGUAUGUGCACGUGAGUUGGAGUUACAGGUGAUUGUGAGCCACCCGGCAUGCAUGCUAGGAACCAAAUUUAUGUCCUCUGUAGCUCACUUGAACCCCUCCCCCCACCUUUUCUUUUGAGACAGGAUAGAAACUGACCUGAAAGUCACUAGGUAGCCCAGGCUAGCCUCAAACUCCUGUCAAUCUUGCCUUUGAGUGCUGGGAUUACAGUAGGCUGGCACCAGCCUACUGGACUUUUGCCUUCUGGUUUCGUGGAACUAACUGCCUUCCCUGGACCACUGGGUGAGCUACCCACUCCUCUUCCUUCCCUGAUCAUCCUCCCUGCUUCUCAUUAAGCCAGAAGGGCCCUCUCUGGAGACUGCUUCCCAGUCUUUGCCUAUCUCCCUUUUUACUCAGCCUUCCCUUUUGAGGCAUUGAUGUUUGUUUCUAAUCUGAAGCAGUCUGGCCCCACAUGGUGCUCCCCAGGGACACAGCACCUGCAGCUCUGUGGUUUGACCUUGCUAUUUCCUGCUCUGUCUUUGUUGAACUCCAUGAAGCUCAGUUUUAUUCUGCCCUUGGGGUUGGCAUCCUAGUGUUCUGCUCCAGAUGGCUGAGUUCUGAUUUCCUUAUCUAUGGAGGAGAACUCUAACUUCUGUCUCUCAUUCCCCUCCCUGGCCUUACUGUUCCCUGAUGGCUUCUCACCUCAUCUGUACUGUGGGAAUGUCUGGUUGACAUCAUCGGCCCCUGUAGCAAAGGCCACCUCCAUUCCCAUUCUUUUCCUAUCUCCCUUUGCUGUCCUCCUAGAAGUCCAGCUCUCUUCCUAGUGGUCAGGAACUCACUCUCAGGACCUUUCACCCAUCUGCCUGACAAUGGCCCUCAUUCUUACCUGUGUGAUCUUGACAUAGUUUCUUAGCCUCUCUCUGCUGUUUUCUCACUUGCAGAAAGAAGACACUGUUCUCUUGGGUGGUCGGAGGGUGAGGUCCUUGUAAUGCUCAGGACACAGUUGGUACAAGGAGAAUAUUCUCCAGGAGUGAGCCUGCUUUUUCUUCCUCCCCUUCAGUAAUGUGGCUAGAGUCACUGUCCCUCCUCCAAGGACUCGGACUCUUGGCAAUCCACUUCUCUCCAGAUCUCUAUGAAUAUACCACCUGACAGUGCAGGCCUCUGUGCCUGUCGUGAGUGUGUCUGUGAAAGCACACAGUGUGGGUGUGUGCGUGUGUAUGUGGAUCUCAUUGGCUUGGGACUUGGUAGCUCAGCUAGGCUCCAGGGAUCUGCCUGCCUCUGCCUCCCCAGGGAUUGUAAGCAAAUCACACCUAGCUUGUGCACUCUCUCCUCUCUCUCCCUCCCCCCAUGCGUGUAUGUAUGUAUGUAUGUAUGUACGUAUGUAUGUAUGCAUGCAUGCAUUUACACAAGAUCUCAAUUUGUAGUCCUGGCUUUUCCUGGAAAUCAGAAACUAGCACAACCGUGUGUUUACAGAGAUCAGCUUGCCUCUGCCUCUCGAUUGCUGGGAUUAGAGGCAUGGUGGGUUCUGGGGAUCAAAUUCAGGUCUGUUGUUAGUACAGCUGCAGGCUUAAGUUUCUUAGUCUUUGCUUCUUUAACUUGAUUCUGAAAAGCUGCUCUGCCCACUGGGCAGCUGAGCCCUUGGGUAAUUCAUCACUGCCCCCAUCAGUAUCCAUGGGCUGUGGGCUCUGAGCCUCCCUCUCCUCCUAAGGCCCCAUCAACAGCUUCUGACCCCCCACCAGUGCCUUCACGCUCUCUUGCUUUCCAACCCCCAUUGUAAGGGAAUGGGGCUCUCUUGGUCCUCUGGGGGAGUUGAUAGUGGCAGGGAGGGGUGAGCCAUCCAGAUACAGCAGGACUGAGUCCUGACUCUACCCCCAGGGCACAUGGCUUAACCUCUGUCACUUCAGGUCCCUUCCCAGCAGACUGGGGGGCAUUAACCCCAGAUCCAUCUUACUGGGUUACAGGAAGAAAAAAAUGUCCUCGCCUGGUGAGGCUCUCAGUAAAAUGGUUUGUUUAUUUCCUCCUCCUCCCCCUCCUCUCCCCCUCCUCUCCCCCUCCCCCUCCUCCUCCUCCUUCUUCUUCUUCUCAGGGUUUCUCUAUGUAGCCCUGACUAUUCUAGAACUUGCUCUGUAGACCAGGCUGGCCUCAAACUCUGAGAUCUACCUGCAUCUUGUGUCUCUGCUUGGUGCCUCCUACAGCUUGCCCUGGACACACCAUGUCUGGGUGUCAUGAUCAUCGGCUCAGCCCCCCUCUUCCUUAUCUCAGGGCCCUUCUGAGAGCCUAUCCCUAACCCUGAGGUGUGGCACCUUCAGCUUCUUCCUGGCUCCCGAUUGUGUACAUGGAAGACAAGUGUAUCUCCGAGUCCAAGAUCUUUUAUGUGCUUUCCCAUCCCUGCUGCCAUGUGUUUAGGGCAUUUGGUUUUGUCAGUGGACUUGGCUUCCUGGUCUCCCUACCUCUCUUCUAUUUUGGUUUUUCAUUUCUUUGUUUUUUCCUUCUCGCACACAGUGCCGUUUGCUUGUUUAUAGUGUUUAGACGUUAUCUGCAGUUACAGAAUUCUUUAUUGCUUAUUUAUUGCUCAUUAAACUGUCAUCUUCCAGUGGGAGGGACUUGGGCAUGUGUCCUUUCGAUCUUGGCAUUCCCAUGACCUGAAACAGAUUAGUUGCUAGCAAGCAUGUGGUGUGUGAAUUUCAGCCGUCCCUUCUCUGGAGCCCACCCUUCUUAGCUGCUCCUUCGCACCUGGCCUCAGAGCCCUCCAAGUUUAUCCAUCUGAAAUCAGAAGAGUGGCAACACCAGAUGUGUGUCACAUCUGGUCAGACGCUUUGACGGGGAUUCCAGGCGCUGUGGUUUUCAAUAGGGAGGUUCUAUGAUGGGGCUGCCCAUGGUAUUUAUGAUAGUCAAAGCGAGAUCCUGCUGUAAAGGUAAGGUUAGCUCCUCCACGUGGGUCAUCUAGCUGGCUUUCCUGGUGCUAGUUAGACCCUGGGGCAUGGGGGGAUGGGAAGCAGCCCUGCCUUCCCAUACUCUGCAUCCAGUAACCCAGUGCACUCUACACCUGGCAGCCCCUUCACAUACAGCAAUGCUGGGUGUGACUUCCGUGGAUGCAGAGACCCUUCCCUCCGGCCUCCUUCCACAUGCUCGCUCACCAGAUUGAGGCCCACAAAGGCAUUCCUGGAAUAUUAUUAGCCCGGUGAAUCAGGUGAAUGAAGGCAGGACAUGACAGUUAUAGAGAGCUACAAAACCCAGCCAAAGAGAAGUUAAAACAAAUGAAUAUCUCAUUAUUAAGCAAAUACUAGCUUUGCCUUUGUCUUAUUCUAUAUUGUUUUGAAAUCAUAACAUAUCUUGGCCACACAUACACAAAAGAGAUUACCUUAGUAAUUGUGUUAAGGUUCCAUCCUUUUAAAAAAAUUUUUCUUUUCAGUAGAACCUGGGAGUAGCUUUGUCUUUGUGGUGAUUUGAAUAAGAAUCCGCCCCCUCCCACCCCCGCCCCUGAGGUCUCUAGUUGGUGGAAAUGUUUCAGGAAGGAUGACGGGGUAUGGCCUUGUUAGAAGAGCUGUGUGUGUUGUUGGGGGUGGGCUUUGAGAUUUCAAAAUUUCACUCCAGGCCCAGUCUUCCCCCCCUUCUCUCUCUCUCUCUCUCUCUCUCUCUCUCUCUCUCUCUCUCUCUCUCUAGUACCUUUGGAUAAGAAAAAAGCUCUCAUCACUGUCCCAGCCCCGUUCCUGCCACAGUGCUUGCUGUCACGAUGGCCGUGGGCUCACUGUCUGAAAGCCCCAAUAAACUCUUUCAUAAGUUGCCUUGGUCAUGGUGUGUCUUUACAGCAAUAGAAUAGUCACUAAGACCCUUGUCGUGAGACCAUCCCUCCAUCUGACUUGCUCCAUAUUUGCUGACCCCUCUCCUUCCACACUCUGCACUAAACACGAGGCUGCAAAAAGAAGAACUCCUGGUUCGCAUUCCCAAAGUAGGCAUGCUCCUUCCCUGUAACGAGACCCUAAGCAGGGUGAAGGGCUUUCCUUAAAGAGGAAAGUCUUGUCUCCAUGCGUACAGCAGCCCCCUUUAUCCUGGGGGAGGGUAUGGUGAUGUAGUUUGGAAGAUAGUUUGCCUAUAUCUGGAAACACAAUAAUAAAGAAUGCUGUACACAUACUAUUUUCCCCCACUGGUAAUACCUGUGAUAAUAGUGUAGUUUAUAAAUUAGACACCUUAAGGGAUGAACACUAACCAAUGAUAAACAGAACUAUAAUAAGACACUGUAACCAAGUUGUUUAAAAACUUAUAAAUACGAUCCCAGCAUUUGGGAGGCAGAGGCAGGUGGAUUUCUGAGUCUGAAUCCAGCUUGGUCUACAAAGUGAGUUCUAGGACAGCCAAGGCUACACAGAGAAACCCUGUGUAGAAAAACCAAACCACCCCCCACCCAUGCAAAUAGGAAUCAUCAACAACAAAAACCAUGAAUUAUUUCUGGCAUUUUCCAUUUAAUAUUUUCCAAGCACUUUGGCUUUCCACCCUCACCCAAGGCACAGAAGCCUUGAAAGUCAAUACUUUCACUUGGGCAAGAAGGACGAGGUGGAGUUGUUGGAUUUUGAGUGGCCACACCGAUGUUCUCUUGAAGGUCUGGAGGUUAGAACAGUGUCACCUGGCUUCCUUUGGGGACAUUGUUAAAUAGGGAAGGUGAUGGUGGAUCCUGACUGCUCCUACCCUGUGACCUUUAGUCAUUCUAGAAGGUCACAUUGGCUCACAGAGGUCCCUUUGAAAAUAUCCACCCACCCUGUGUGUAAUCCCAGACAGCCCAGGAUGCUGUUGGCUUAGUCACUAAGGGGCCACAGCCUUAAACCGGUGUCUUCUUUGAGAGAAAACAAAACGUGUUGAAAUUGGGAGAAAUCCCAGACUGCUUGAGUGAGGCAACAGUUGCAUAAUAGGUUUAGGAAAUGUCUGUCCUCCACUGGUCAAGUUUAGCCACUGUCCCGAUGGCACUUCCCAUGUCUUAUGAGCUCUUGGGUCCAUCAGAGGUGGCUGGGCAAAGCCUUAGAAAGUUCCAGAACUUUGCGUGGCUAUCCACACAGUAGGUGGCGCAUACUGCAGCUGGAAGAAGACCCGAUCCUGUUACCUCUGUGUUGAUGGGUUUUUAUUUCCUGGGACAGCCAGGACGGGUACUUCUGAGAUGUAGCUGUGGGUGGGGCCUCAGAAGAGGUGUGUGCCUGCCCUGCGUAUGACAGUGUUGAAGCCAUCAAACCAAGAGACAGCCUUUAGUGUUCAAUUCUUGGUCUUGCCAUUAAGCAGCUUCAGUUGUUGGGCAAGCCAUUUCUCUGAGCUGGUUUCCUCGUGGAACCACAUAUGACUCAGCUUUCCCUAUUGGGAGGCUUAGGUGAGAUCGCAUUAGUUAAAUGGCUUUUGUAAGCCUUGACAUACAAGAGUAAGGACAAUUUGUAUAUAGUUUGUAAUGUAUAGUGUGGUUAACGAUUAGAAAUGUUCAGACUUGUGUCUAGGGACAGAAACAGAGCUAUAGGGAUAGAAAGAACCUGACUACGUAUCCAAACCUCCUUGUGCUAUUUGAAAUGGGCUUUCAUGAUUUUAGUACGUUGUAGUAUAGGCUAGCCUCUGACUGUCUUCCUGUUUCAGCUUCACAGACUUCUGAGAUUAUAGGUAUGUAGUAUCAUACCAUGCAGAGAACACAGCUUUUUCUAUCCGUCUCCCUCCUCCUCUCCCUCCUCCUCUCCCUCUUUCCUUCCCUUCCUUCCCUCUUUCCUAGUUGUAGGUGUUGGUGUCAUGGCACAUGUUCAGAGGUCAAAGGACAACUUUGGAUGCUGGCUCUUACCUCCCCUCUUGUUGAGACAAAUUCUCUUGUUCAUCGCUGCCCAGGCCAGGCUAGCUGGCCCAGAAUCUUCCAGAGAUUGUUCUGUCUCCGCUCCUCUUGCAGUAGAAGCACUGAGAUUACACACAGUACUGUGCAUGCCUUUAUGUGGGAUCUGGGGAUCAAAAAUCUCAGGUCCUAGCUUGCAUGGCCAGUAGUUUUCCCUGAGCCACCUCCUUAGCCUGGGAGCACAGUCUUAAAGCUCAAUGCAGGUUGCUCCACCAUGUUAUCUAUUGUUCAACUGGGCUCUAGGGAGAGGCGUGAAGCCAGCCCUGUGUUCAUGAAGGACUGUAGGGUUCCCUGUGGCUGCAGCCUUGGGCUUUGACCUCUUAUCCAGUUGAGUCCUCAGCUGCCUGCUGGUGUCUUCACCUGAGACACAAGGGAAGAGGAGGUGACCAUUAAAAUGCACAGGGCUGCUGCUCAGUAACACUCUAUAGACUUUUCAGUGCACACCUUCAUCCUGAUUUUGAGUCUGCCUCAUGGGUCACCAGACAGAUGAGUCUGGGGAUGUUUUGAGGAGGGAUACACUCCGAGAUCAUCUGGCUCUUGUACUGUGUACUGUCCUGAUUUCUGAGCUUAUUUGUCUGUGUGGAAAUAGGUGCCAUCGCCUCUGGGUCUCCUGACCUCCCUUUCUUCAUGGUGUUUGCUGGUAUUUGACAUCAAGAACAGAAGAUUGAGUGACCCUUGCAAGUUUGGAUUGGAGUUGGAGACAUUGAAAUUGCAAUAUGGGAUGCAUAGCGCCAUGACUACAGGUAGCAGUGGGCUCUGUUGACCCUUUCAGGCUUGUAAGCAGGCCCCUGUCUGUAUGGUGACAUGUUGCAGACCUUGCUCUUUGCGUUUUGUUCCUGGAAUUCUCUGUCAGACCCUGGACAUCAAAAGUUCUUGCAAAGCUGGGCUGUUCUCAGGAGCUACUGUGCAAUUGAGAACAGAUGUCUGCUCUCAGAGCAGCUUGGAUGAAGGGACCAGGAAGCACUGGGCAGGGCUUUUUCAUCCUGGAGGGAGGGACUUCAAAGAAGCGAAGAGAAGCCUGUGUUUACUUGCAGGUGCAAGGUGACCAGGGAUGCAUUGACUGAGCAGCAAGUAUGACUUGAACUCAUGGCCUCUCUGUGCCUUGGGACACUGUGACUUCUAGGUUCUCUGAAUACACUUGGCCACAAAUGUAGACUUCUAGCCAGAGCCAUUCUACCUCAAGAAGAAAGCUGGGAGGCAGGACUGCUUGUAGUGCAUUCUGGGAGGGGAGCCAACUGCUCUCGUCCCAUUUUGGGCCUGCCUUGUCCCUGAAUUCCAAAGUGCCCGCCUCGAAGUUGCAGUUUAUUUUGUCCACUUGAAGUCACCCUUCACGAUUGCAGACCCUUCAUUUAAGCCUCUCCCAGAGUGUUGAAUGACUCUAGCCCCGCCCUGGAACCAGGGGCAGAAAGUCCCAGAGGUUUCUGGAUGGGCUCUGUUUACAACUCUCUGACUCUUUCCUGCUUGGGGACCUUUCAUAAGUUCAUCACCAGGAAGCUGAGUCAUGCAGGGGUCAGCUGGCGUGAUCAAAGAUCACCCCAGCGCUGCCGGCAACUCACAUCGGUUGUCUGGGCAUUUGUGGGGAGCAGUGUAGGAAUGACGAGGUAGAUGAGCUCAAAGGCCCUCUUAGCAUCGCCCCUCUGGGGUAGGGAGAGUGGGGAGGGUGGGCUGCACACCCUGGGGACUGCACAGCGGAGAGCCGUCACCCACUUCAUUCACUUGAUUUCUUUCCCUCUUCUCUGAAUUCAAGGCCAAGGUCAGAGCCAAACAGAAACACAGUGCAGAGGAUAAAAUACCUUCCCUUGUCUCAUGUUUGGAGUUCAGCACGCCCUCUCUGCCCCUGUGCUGUGCUCUCAGGCUCUGCUCCUGAUGCUUAGCACAUUUAUGGGAAACCAGUUCCCCCAGUCAUGCAUCCACAUUCCCAUUCCAUAGUCCAUUCACCUGAACCCCUUUCUUUCAUUUUUUGUGUGCAUGUGUGCAUGCACAUGUAUGUGUGCUUAUAGAGGCCAGAGGACAAUCCUGGUCAUUAUUCAUAAGGUAUUUUCCAUCUGGUCUAUGUUUUCCUUUCCUCUUCUCUUCUCUUCUCUUCUCUUCUCUUCUCUUCUCUUCUCUUCUCUUCUCUUCUCUUCUCUUCUCUUCUCUUCUCUUCUUUCUUUUUUCCUUCCUUCCUUCCUUCCUUCCUUCCUUCCUUCCUUCCUUCCUUCCUUCCUUUCUUCCUUCCUUCCUUCCUUCCUCUCUCCCUCUCUCUCUCCCUCCCUCCCUCCCUCCCUCCUUCCCUCCCUCCCUUCCUCCCUUCCUUUCUUUCUUUUUUUUUCUUUUUUUUUUGGGACAGGGUUUCUCUGUGUAGCCCUGGCUGUCCUGUAUCACUCUGUAGACCAGGCUGGCCUCGAACUCAGAAAUCCGCCUGCCUCUGCCCCCCAAGUGCUGGGAUUAAAGGCAUGCGCCACCACUGCCCAGCUUGGUCUAUGUUUUCUACACAUCUCCAGCUUCACUUUCCUGAGCCUUGGUAUUGCUGCUGGCUUGAAUCAGGGUCUCCUUAUGUAACCCAGGCUGGACUUGAACUCACAGAGAUCUGCUUGUUUCUACCUCAUGAGUGCUGGGAUUAAAGACCUGUGCCACUAUGCCUAGCAUUACCUUGUCUUUUUGAGACAGACUGUCAUGAGGUUAAGCUGUUUAGCCAGGUCUGUUCGUCUUCCCUUCCUCAGUGCCGGGAGGGCGAGAGUGAGCCACUGUGCCAGUUAUUUUUAAAAUGUGAAUUCUGAUUGUCUGAUUCAGGUCCUUUGUAAGUACUUUACCAAUGCCCGAGCUGUCCCCCAAGCCACAGGCUACUUUCUUUCUCCUACACAUCAUCAGCUUUUCGGUCCUCAGCCUUGGUGUCCAUGUGAUGGUACCCACAGAUCUAAAUUAAGUACCCUUCAUAGGAUCUGGUAGUACCUAGUAUUUGGGGCAUUCAGAGUUUGGAAAUUAUUUGAGUUUCCUCUUCUCCCUUUUUAGAUCAUAAAUAUCUCAAAGACCAGAACUCCACUCACCCUCCUGUCCCCAACUCCCCAGCAGUGCACUAAUGGGUAGUUUGUGGGAAGAUCUCUCUGGCAACACAGCAUAUUUUCCCUGCUGGGACCUCUGUAAAACUAGAGUCACUGUCACCCUCGUCCCUCAUCUUCUGUCACUCCUGGGAACCCUUCUCUCAGACAGUUUUACUUUAAGUCGCACUCCCUAGUUCGUUCUUUUUAGGGAGAAGAUUUUAGUUAGCGUCUGUUCUCACCCAUAAUGGAAGCUUUCUGCCAUACUUGGAUACAGAGAAACCUUAAAUCUGCCUUAAAUCUGGGGCUCAGCUUUGAUCAUGCUUGUGUCCUUGGCUGUUUUCCUGUGUGUUGUGUCCCAGACUCUGGGGCACACAGAUGCAUUAUUGAUAGCGUGUAGGGCCUUGUGCAUGUGGGUGAAACCCUGUUGGCCCCUGACUCCUUGGGCCAUUGUUACAGUUUAGUGGGGCACAGUGAACAACAAUGGAUGAUUCUCACAGGAGACAGACGCAGAUGCAUCACCUGAUAUAAUUAUAAGCAGAGGAAUGAGCAAGCCAAGCCUGGCGACAGGAUUGCUGUGGAUUCUGCUUUUUCUCCUUUGUUUAAUGGGCUAAUCACUGGGCACGCUUCGGGAAGGUGUGGCCUCUGUGAAGGGUGUGGAAGCCGGCCUUGUAGAAGCUGGCAGGACCGCACCCAAUUUGCAGGCAUGCACCGGGUGCCUGGUUCCCAGUCCGGUGUAGAUUUCAGCCGAGCUGUACCUACUGAAUCCUGGGGCCUCUCCCUUGCUUGGUAUCAACACUAAGGAGAUGAUUAGGGCCACUUGUCUUGUCACCCUCCUGGUCUCUCACAAAGACACAUAGCUGCUUCUUGUCAGUUCCCUCGUGCCUGAACAGCUGGGAUGUGUUCUGGGAGGGUGUCCGUUGGCGUGGCAAGAGGCUGGCACACAUUAGAGAGGAAGUGCUGUGUCAUCCAGUCAGGUUGGCCCGUGGAAGGAGAAAGACUCGGGUUUUGUCGCCUAAGCAUUUUGUCUUCCUUUGCAGAAGCCCGAGAGUCCUCGGACUUGGCCUCUCAGAAGCCUCCUCCGUGGCAUGUUCCUCCUGCCUAGGGACAGUGUGGCAGACUCCUGGCUAGGGACAGUGCUGUGUCCGGGGUGGGGUGGGGUGGGGGUGGUGUCUGACACUGCGGAGAACCCAGGGCGGAUGACAGACAAGACAAAGGCCAGCUCCGGAAAGGGCUGUGGGAGAUUUCAGGGAAUUCUGAUUGCAGAUUCCGGGAUACAUCCUUGAAGCAAACUGUAGGUUACACCUUUUUGAAAUUGAGUAUAUAUAUAUAUAUACACACACACACACACACACACACACACACACACACACACACACACAUAUAUUGCGUGUAUGUGCAUAUGUGGGAAGGCCAGAGACCAGCCUUGAAUAUUGUUCCUCAGGAGCUACCCACCUUAUUAUUAUUUUUUAAUUUUUAAAAUAUAUUGUAUUUAUUUAUACACAUGGAACAUGUGUGUAUGUGGAGGUCAGAGGACAACCUCUCUUCUACCAUGCGAGUUCUGGGUAUUGAACUCAGAUUGUCAGGCUUGGCCGCAAGCAUCUCUACGUGCUGAGCCAUCUUGCCAGCCCACUUUUGUUUUGCCUGCAGGUAUGCCUAUGUUUAUGCACCACAUGUAUGCCUGGUGCCCACAGAGAUCAGAAGAGGGCCCUGGUAUGUCCUAGAACUGGAAGUACACAGAGAUGGAAAGCCACUGAGUACAUGUUGGGAACUACAAGAACAGCAAGUGCGCUGAACUGCUUAGCCAUCUCUCUAGCUGAUCGCAUUAUCUUUUGCGAGAUGGGUCUCUUCUACCUGAACCUGGUUGGCUGGCAGCCAGAGAGCUUCAAGGGUCUACUGUCUCCACCCCUGUGCCUCUGUGCCUGGCUCGUGCAUAGGUUGUGGGGGGUUGCAGUUGGGGCCGCCUGCUUCUUUGGGAAGCACUUUACUGACUGAGCCAUCUCUUUUCAAGUAUACCCUUCAGUGGUGUUGAGAACCUCUUCUUAAUGAUGUAGCUGGACUCAGACGUCUUUUCAUCUUGCAGAACUAAAACCCGCCUCUUAAAUAAUAAGUUCCUAUUUCUCCCACCUCCAGACCCUGGUACUCUCUAUUCUGCUCCCUGUCUCUUCGAAUUCCAUUCCUUUCAGUGCCUGUCGUAACCAGAAGCAUAGUAGAGCUGCCCUUUUGCAAUUGGCUUAUUUCACUCAGCAUACGGUCUUCUAGGUUCAUCUGUAAUGGGACAUGGGUCAGAAUUUAAACCCUUUUCCAGGCUAGAUGGUAUUCCACCGAAUGGCUGAGACCCACAUUAUCUUUAUCUGUGGUGGACAACAGGGCUCUUUCUACCCGCCCACAUCUCUCCUUGAGCCUCUGCUUUUAGUUCUCCUAGCUAUAGCUCUACUCUCCACAGGUGGAAUUGCUGGAUCCUUGGGAUUUCUGCUUUUUUUUUUUUUUUUUUUUUUUACUUUUGGAAGAAUUGCCUUAGUGUCCUUUUAAACCUUCUUACUACUAAUAAAUAGUGCCUUUGAAUGAGAGUGGCCCCCAGAGGCUCAUAUAUUUGAACAUUAGGUCUCCAUUUGGUGGAACUGUUUGGGAAGGAUUAGGAGGUGUGGACUUGUUAUGGAAAGGGUGUGUCAGUGGGGGUGGGGUGGGAUUUAAGGUAUCAACAGCCCAUGCCAGGACGAGCCUCACUGUGCCUGCCUCUAACCUAAGGAUAAGCUAUAAGGUCUCGGUUUCUGCUCUAGCACCAUGCUUAUCUGCAUCCUGAGGUGCUCCCUACUCUGAUGAUCAGCUCUCUGAAACUGUAGGCAUGGCCUCAAAUAAAAGCUUCCUUUUAUAAGUCUCCUUUGUCAUGGUGUCUCUUCAAUGCAAUAGAACAGCAUCUAAGACAAGUGCACAGGGUCCGGGUCUUUCCUGGUUUUCAGCCCCUCUACCUCUUUGGCUCUUUGACAGAGCCUCCUCAUAUGUCUCCCUGGCUGGCUUUGGCUUAGACACUUCCUGCCUUCACUUCCCAAGUGCGAGGGUUUUAGGUGUGCACCACCAUGCCUGCUUUAAAAUUUUUAAACAGGUGGGGGUAAAGUUGCAAACAGGUCCAAUGUACAUUAAUGUCAGUAGGUUUAACCUCCUUCAACUAAACACUGCUACACACAGAUGCACCUUUGUUUAUAGCUGGCCCUACGUGUACCUACAUAGGUACUGAUGGCUGACAUUCUGAAUGUCUCCAUGGAGACAACAUUAGCCCUAUUUGUUCAUGCAGCAUCUCUCAGUAGUUGUAAUAGACGGUGAACAAAAGCACUAGGAGUCCAUCUGUCAAGCUCCUCUCCUGGUAAGUGUCCAGAGAGGUGAUUGCUCAGAGUCCCUGUGGUGGCUGAGCUGCAGAGAUAUUUCGGUCUGUUAACUUCCAGAACAUUUUGGAGGACCUUCAGUUUGGCAAAGUGAGUUAGCACUUGCACUGGGUUUGCAUUCCUAGAGGACCUCAGAGGCGAGAGCCCCUGCAUCCCACCUCUGGGCUGUGGAGAGCUCUAAGGGACAUGGACAGGGGAGAGAGGUCCUCUGUGCUCAGUCUUGUAGCUGACCUCAGUCCACACCUGGCUGCCACUCUGGGUCUAUUUUUCAACACUCCAGAAGGCAUUGAGAGAGGCCAAAGGCUUGUCACAGAGGGGAGCUUGCUUAUAACAGACCACACAACAGUUUUAGGAUGUCUUGGUACUCAAGGACCCUCCCCAGUCCUGGGCUGGAACUUCAAUAACCCUUAAAGGUGAGCAAGGAGGCCAGGUGAGUGAACUUCCUGGAGCACUUUUGUUUGUGACUUUUUUAAUACCAGUAAACUGAUAUUAGUGACAGCUCCCCAUCCCCCAUGGUAGUUAGCUGUCCAAGUUUCCUUUGUUACAUAAGCAGGAUUAAUUUAAGCAGCUCAUAUCCCUUCAUUCAGAAGUGACAGGGAAGAGGAGUGACUGCAGGAGGGUCGGUAUCCCUCGUGGGACAGCCUGGGCGAAUUCUCUCAUUCCUCUGGGCCUAGCUUUCCUUCCGUUCAAUGCAAUGGCAGAGUGGAAUAGCACCUCAGGUGUGCUGGAGUCUGUAGGUGUUUAUGGGUGGGUUCACUCCCACCCUGGGCAGAUCUUGCAGGUACCUUUCUCCAAGCAAGAAGAGUUGAAGGGAGGAAUCGGUACAAGUGACAGUUUCCAGGAGUUUGUUUUUUUUUUUCCCACCAGAUCUACAGUAAAAGGAAUUUGAUCUUCAUAGCCUUUUUUAGAAGGUUGGUGCUGUGAGGAACCUCACACAGAAAAGGAAACAAGCAGAGGAGAUGAGCCAUUGUCUGAGUUUACGCUUGGGAGAGGAAGAAGCCCCUGGGAUGUCUCACUGCUCUGCCAGCCCCCGGCCAGAGUCUGUAAUUCUCAGGAAGUGGCCUAGCAUCAAGCUGCUCUUGCGCUAAGAGAGGAGAGGGAAUAAAUGCCGAGGCCAGGAGUUUUUGACACUCAAAAACCUGUUGUGUGAUUUCUUGCCAUCUGUUUUAUAGUCUAAUGGGAUUCCGUUCAAACCUGUUGUCUUAGUCAGGGUUUCUAUUCCUGCACAAACAUCAUGACCAAGAGGCAAGUUGGGGAGGAAAGGGUUUAUUCAGCUUACACUUCCAUACUGCUGUUCAUCACCAAAGGAAGUCAGGACUGGAACUCAAGCAGGGCAGGAAGCAGGAACUGAUGCAGAGGCCAUGGAGGGAUGUUCUUUACUGGCUUGCUUCCCCUGGCUUGCUCAGCCUGCUCUCUUAUAGAACCCAAGACUACCAGCCCAGAGAUGGUCCCACCCACAAGGGGCCUUUCCCCCUUGACCACUAAUUGAGAAAAUGCCUUACAGUUGGAUCCCAUGGAGGCAUUUCCGCAACUGAAGCUCCUUUCUCUGUGAUAACUCCAGCCUGUGUCAAGUUGACACUCAAAACCAGCCAGUACACUUGUCAUGAUGUCCUGUGUGCCAGACAUGGAGUCCUUUAGCAGUUAGCUAAGAGGAACACUCCUUCAGGUGAGGUGAAGCUAGUGGUAGGUUGUGGGGAGAGUGUGGGCAUCCAUAUUACCAGAGGUGGUUUCCCCUCUCUCAGGGAUGGAGGAGGAGCAGCCUCUCCACAAGUCAUUGCAACAGAGACGAACCCUUACUGACCACUUGGCCACUGCCCUAGCUGGCCCGUUUGCUUCCGUUCCCUCUUUCUUCAUCAUGGGCAGCACAAGGCACACACGAUUGGGAGGGUGCUCUGCAGGUGAGCCAGCUAAAGGUCAGAGAGGUGACAUAAUAAUUUACCAGGCUACAAAGUUGAACUAGGACUUCAGUGACUAGAUGGCAGAGGACUGGGCCAUCUUUUGUCUCCUUGGAUCUUGAUCCAAGUACAAGGAAGGCCUCAAAUCAGCUUGUACUCUGCAACAGAUGGGUGAGGAGAUUAGCGUGUAGAUGAACUGGUAACAACUAUCCCUGCCAGGAAUGAAGAUAUUCUAAGGAGCCGAGACUGCCCCUCCCUUUUGCCUGUCAGAUUAUUGAGACAAGAAAGCCUCAGGUAUUGGGAUUUCCCCUAGAAGUGUUACGAUGCUGAAGGAAAGGAGAAAGCUGCUGGCUGCCCUAGCAGGAGGGUUAGAGAUUUCUCACUGUUCUGUCAACUUGUCAGACCACCUUGCAGGAGACUGGAGCCCAGACAGUAACUGACACCUCACCUAGAACUGCUUAAGUGUACAUUCCUCUUCCUUCUGUUUAAAUCUAACCCCCGAGGCAGGACCCCAAAGAUGGAAAGGGACACUAUUUGACCUCUAUACUCUUUCCUCUGCUUUUCACAAUGUCUUUGACUCAUUGUAGACAGGUGCCACCUAGGUCACUGGGUCUUCUUGGGGUCUAGGGUCUGACCCUAAUUCAGGUAAGCCUCCAACUCUUUCCUGUGUCCCAGUGACCCCAGCUUUGUACCCAGUGCUCCAGAGCCUGUGCGAGGCCUCUCCUGACCCCAUCUCUGUACCAUCCCACCUUUUCUUUAUGGGGCUGAGAUGUCCGACUAGUAGAGUAUCCUCAGAGAGUCUGAGAUUCCUUGAGAGCAGUGGCUGUCUCUGAGGCCUUGUGUGGCUGGCUGAAGGCUCCCAGCAGAGUCUGAGAUUCCCUGUCUGGCUCUCUGUUCCUCUUCCUUCAUAGCAGAACAAAGCGGGGGGAGGCCCGUGGGAACUCAAAUGAAAACUCUCUCAAGGCACACCUCCCUUCCGCCCCCCACCCCCCAUGGGCUUCUGUGGUGCUUGCAUGGGGACUCUUCCAUGUCAAUUUCUUUUCCUUUGUGGCAUGCCAAGCCUACCUAUGCUUUGCAGAAGUAACACGCCGUUUCUCCAGCUUGUCUCAACAUCUUGUCCUUACUUGUGAACGGAGUGUUUACAAGCCAUUCAGCUCCUCAAGACUGAGUCAGUGAGAGGCCUCAGGAGUUCCCUUUAUGAGCAGGCAGUUGACCUGUGGCUCCUGUACGCACUAGCCUUUGCAUACCGGGCCGUUUGGAGUAUCCUGUUGGAAAACAAUGUUGAAAUGGAACUGCUGCUCUUUGGCUCCUGAUGCUGGCAAGAUGGUCAAGUGCCAUGGUCUCCUUACUGCCCGGAAGCUCCAAAAUCACCCGUGGGAUCCAAAGAGGCAUGGUAAACAGAAUAAGAAAGCCCUCUUAGGCAUGGCCCUGUAGGCCAGUCCUGUUGGAGGCGUUUCUUAUGCAAAGAGAAUUGUGCAAGGAAGAAGUUGGGGUUGAUGUUAAACAUCCAGAUCCUGCUGCCAGGGAGCACAACAGAGUGCAGGCUCAAGACCUCAGGGAGCACGGCAGAGUGCAGCUCCUCAGGAACCCAGGGAGCACGGCAGAGUGCAGCUCCUCAAGAAGGCAAGAAGGUCACAGUGUUUGUGCCCAGUGAUGGCUGCUCGAACUUCACUGAGGAAGACAAUGAAGUUUUGGUUGCUGGAUUUGGUCAGAAUGGGCCACACACACCCUAGGCGCUAUCCCUGGAGUCUGCCUGAAGGCUGUUAAAGUAGCCAGUGUGGCUCUCUUGGCCCCGUACAAAGGCAAGAAGGAAAGAUCAAGACCAUACAUUUUGACAGCAGAAAUACUAAUAAAUUUAUAUAUUCUUGGGAAAAAACAAAGAAAAGAAAUUGAGCUGCUAUUAUAAUAGCACAGCUGGGAAGCAGAUCCUUCAGGGGGAGUCUGAGAAAGGGCUCUGGGCUACUGAAUGGAUUGAGAGCCCUGAUACUGGAGUAAGUCCACUGCCAUGGGAGUGGGCGAGUUCCUGAUAAGAUUGGGUUGGGCUGGAUCUACUGUCUUGCAUGCCUUUGCCCUUCUGCCUUCCACAAUGCAGGAGUCCUCCCCAAAUAUUGGGAUGUGCUCUUGGAUUUCCAGGGCCCUGGCACUGGGAUGCCCCCAAACACUGCUGCUGCUGUACCCAGAGGUGUUCCGUUACAGCACAGGAUGGGCUGAGACAAACACUGACUCAGCCCCAAGCUUUCAUCCUUUCAGAUACCCGACCUGCCCCUGACCUCAGUGAGUAUCUGGCUCAGAUUCCUUUUCAGGAGACUGAGUGGUGGGAUGUUGAUGCAGCUCUAUAUGGAGCUGGGGUGGAGAUCUGCGCCUGUGAGGUCUAUGCGGGAAGCGGCUCAGUACUUGGCCUGUGAGGACAGGGGCGCAGGCUCUGCAUAAACAGAGUAUACAUAGACAGGGAUGUCUGGACUUGAACUUGGGGGAGCUUGGGUGGCUUGGACAGUCAGUGUAGCUCUUCUGCUCACCAACACUGGGCACAAAGGAGAUGGCUGCGUGUAACUUAGAGUGACCAUAGAAGCAGAGCACCCUGGGAACAGCCAGGAAUUUGGAGCCAUGUUGCCUGUUGCCUGGCUCUCUACCUUGGUUUCCCCAUUUAUAAAACGGGGAUAGCUAGCUGUUCCUUUUCUUGCUUUUAGUAUAAUAUUUUUGGUAAGCAGAGAUAUGAAAGGCUCAGACUUUACCGCUGAUAGAAGCUGGAGUAGGUCACGGCCCUGUUCAGGGUGGGAAGGAGUGACCCGUGUCUCAGGUUUCCCUUCUGUCCCUCAGUGAGGUCACCGCAGGACCCGUGAGAUCUCAGUCCUGCUAUCUGGUGUCCUGGGAAUUUGCUCCCCCUGAGGAGUAGAUAAUCCUUGGGGUGUGCCUCACAUAGGGUGUUCUGAGAGUGUCCUGAAUCAACUGGACUUGGGCCAAGCACGGAUUCUUUUAUCCCUCCCUGCUUGCUGUAGGACCAUCCGGAGAAAGGGGGGCACCCAAGUCCAGCUCCUGGGGUCAGGAAUGGGAGCCAUUUCCUUGGAGCCAUAGGCCUACUGUAAGCUGCUUCCCUAGAUAGAGGGGGAGCCCAAGUGUAUGGAACAACCUGUCUGGGGAUCCUGCAGGGAGGGCUUCAGUUGUAUGUGGCUGCCUCCCGAGGCAGGGAGCCCAUCUGUCCUAGUUAAAUGUCUGACAUUUCCUGCUGCCUGUCCUCUCACUGUUGGAAGCAGGGUGUAGCCAUGUGUGGAAAGUCACCUGAGUAAAUUCCAGCUUCAUUGGCUGGAUUCAGGCUCUCCUCUCCGUGGUCUGAUUCUAACUUCCUUUCUUCCAGCCAUUUUCAGAUGCCCAUGUAAUGGUCCAGCUGUUUCUCUGAGUCUUGUCCUGGGGGCCAUCCCUGCACACAAUGCCCCAGCCACACAGUCUUGUUUCCCAGGUAGCUGCACAUGUCUGUAUGGUCCUAUUUUUUCCCCCAAAUACUCCCACAUGUCUCUGUUCCCCCACAACUAGGUCAUUGUCCCCUGUCCCUCCACUACUGCACUUACCUUAUAUUUUUUUCUCAGAGUAAUAUAGUCUAAAUGAUUAAACAAUAUAGAAAGAGCUAUUGUGACAGUUCUGCUCUGACAGUUUGAUGCCCUGUCACUUUUCCUAAGUGAAGCUUGAGCGGUCCCUUUCUGGUCACCCUCCACUUUGGUAGUGUGAGUCUUUGUACCUUGGUGCGCUCCACUGUGGUCUUGGGAGGAGAAACAGGCUUGGUACCCUGGCUCCUUCAGGCAACCUGAGGAACUUCGUUAUUCUUGCCAAGGUGGAAUUCCAUCCAACACAUGAUGUACGUUGUCCCCAGAAACAGCCAGUGUCUUGGCUGGGGUCUAGCUUAGUCAGUAGGGUGUUUGCCCAGCACGCACAAGGACCCGAUUUGAUGGCUAGCACAGCAAACAAAACAAAGCAAUGAAACAAAACUAGCAGUAAUUCCUAAAGCAGCCUACAUGGGGCCCUGGAGGUUUCAGUGUUGUUCCUAUAGGGUGAGCAGCAGCUGGGAGGGUACUUUGUAGUCAUAGGUAGCUAGGAAGGGCUGCCUCCUAACACUGCGGCCACCUGAAGAACUUCAGGGACUAUGAUGAGAAAUCAUCUUCCUUCAGGUUUCCUCCUCUUCACUGUCUCUAAUGCUGUCCUUUUAACUGGCAUUGCAGGUGGACUAGCCUUUCUGCUUGCUACCAACUAGAGGUGUUUCAGGAGGAGGCAUUUCAUCAUGCACGGGAGGUCUCUGCUCAGAAUAUAUGUUCUGGAACGCUCAUUGCAUGUGCUGUGUAGCUUCUCUACCUUUUAAGAAGACAGUAGUGACCACUCUUGGGGUAGUUGUUUUCUCUUGCUGCUCAAUAAACAUCACAGUUUUCCUCUUGGUUAAAUA